rnacentral:lncRNA from 1 species
UUGGGUUCGGGUUCCCCUCUGAUAUCGAUCAGCCACCGACCGCCGACCGCCGACCGCCGACCUCCGAGCAUGACCGGAAAAGCGAAACCAAAGAAGCACACGGCGAAGGAGAUCGCCGCUAAGGUCGACGCCGCCACCACCAACCGUGGCGGAGGCAAGGCCGGCCAAGCAGACCGCUCCGGCCUCGACAAGGGCGGCCACGCUAAGCUCGAGUGCCCUCUCUGCAAAAUCACCGCUCCCGACCUCAAAUCGAUGCAAAUCCACCACGAAGCUCGCCAUCCUAAGGUCCCUUUCGACGAGGCCAAGCUCUCCAAUCUCCAUGCCAGCUCCGUCCCCGAAUCGUCUAAGCCUCGCCCUGGGGUUCGUGGCAGCUUCAAGAAGUAAUUCUUGCUUCUCUGAUUUCGAACUUUUUUUUUCCUGUUCGAUGUUGUGUCCUGUGGCUUAUCGAUAUGGGUGAUGGUGAUUAGGAUCUAUGAGAUGUGAUGAAGCGUUGUUAUGGUGUGUAUAUUAGACGUGGUGAUGAUCCUUUAGGUGGGAAUAGUGUGGUGUUAUGGAUCAUAUGAAUAAUGAUAAUAUGAGUACUUUAGCUCCGCAAAUUUUUAUUUUUUUCUUCUGUUGAUGGUUAAGAAAAGGUUGUGGGAUUGUUCUUGUUGAUGAGCAAAAGAUCUGGUUGAUAGGUUUGUGUUUAGGGCUUGGGAUUCCUUUAGUUUGAUGUUUCGAUUUCUGGAAAUCGUAGAGGAGGACGGGAGGGGAUGUAGGAGGCCCUUCCGCAGUUGAAUGUUCUGGAGUGGUGAAUGCAGAGGACGGGUUUCUGAACUAGAGGCUUUUUCUAAUUCAAGGAAAAUCAGAAUCCAUCUUUGCAGUGUUUCCUGUUAGCUAGAGGGUUGUUUUGAAUAAGAGCCAACUAGGGUAGAAAAGGCACUAGCUAAUCUGACCUUGGUAGGAAAAUCAACCACAACAAAAAGAUGUGUGGAACCUCCAGUUUGAUUUGGCUGAAAAAUGUCUUGGUUAUUUAAAAAGUUGCAACUCUUAACUUCUCUAACCAAGUCUCUUAAACUGUGAAACCAUCUCAUAUGCUCAAUAGUAAAGCAGGUCAAGCAUGCCACUUAGGUACAUCAAGCCCUUUUGAGUUCUUCGAGCUUCACGCUUGAUGUGGGGAGGUAUAACGUAUAUCAGUGUUGUAUUCCUAUGCCCUUGGAAAGGCAGGAGAUGUAUUUAUCUCAGUAAGGAUGGGCUUAGGCCCUUGCCCCUUCCAAGGGGUUGCCCUGUUCAUGAGAGUGGGAAGGAACUGGUAAAGUCAACUAGUAAAUGUUGGGGAGAAACCAACCAUUGCUCAAUUAACAUGUUGAGGUGACUCGUUCAUUUGCAUUUUAAGCAAGGUGAAAUGCUUCCAUCGUGAGAUGUAUGGGAGAAUUUUAUUUGGCGUUCACCAUAGGACAUCCAAACAAUCCCACUAGGUUGUCACAUGUCCUAGUAUGGGAAAGAAACCAAAAGAUCCUGACACAUGAUGCUCCAUCAAUGGCUUUUUAUGAAUUGCAACUACUAAUGAUAUGCAUUUUUGGAGGUGCAUCUAUGUGCCACUUGGCCUUUACAUCAUAAUGGAUACAUGUCAAAAAAUUGUAGGUCUAAGUGUCACUAUGAAAUUGAACGCCGAUAUUUAGCUCCUUUCUUUGUGUGGCUUAUGUUAGCAAGGUGGCAUGAUAUGAUAUAGGUUGGUGCAUAUGCCCCUCUUACUAGCAUAGACUUUACAUGCUUUGUGGGCUACAUGUGUUCUACAGAAUAUAUAUUCAAUAGGAGCAUGUGUUAGCACUUUUUUUUUUAUGCCUAUCAAAAUUUUUUUGUGCUAAUGUGCUCCUAAAAAAUAUAUAUACCGUAGAACACAUGAAUGCGCUUCCAGAGGCCAUGUCAUUAGUAGCCCCACUUCACAUGGGAUUACUAAUGAGCUCCACAUGUCAUUUCAUCUUUAUGUGGCUCUAAUAGCCAUGACCUCUUUCUGUCCUACUAGGACAUGGUGCCAACCUGGAAGUGGAUGCUUAUUUCUUGUGUAAAAGCUUGGACUUCUUGUAUGUCCAUGUCAAGGGAAGUUUUCCUAUCCAUUUCAGGAUGUAGGCAUUCACCUUGCUCAUAGGUACAUUAUGAGUGAGGUGAAUGCUCUAUCAUGUUGUAAAUCCACUUGUCUCGACAUGUGUCCCCCAGACAUUGUUUACCCUCCUCUUCUCUCAAAUCAGUGAAGAUGGUUUUGAAAUGCAUAUGGUAUAUUCCUACUUUUUGUGAGCCUCUUGUAAAGCCAAAGGCUCCAUGUCAAUCCCAAGGUUUUGGAAGUUGAAAGGUUAGUCCCCUCAUAGAAAGUCCAUGCAGUAUAGGACCUUUUGAACCUUGCCUUCAACUAGCUCAAUAAUAUUAAUGGUAGGGUGCUGUCUAGAAAGCAUGUUCAAUGAUGAUUCAUGGAGAUAGAGCUGCUUUCGGAGUUUUGGAGAUUGAUCGUUGAGAAAUAAGCUACCUUUCACUGACUCCAUUAGAGGGCAUAACUGAGAUAGAGGGGCAUCCUUUUCAUAUUGGAGAAGUGGAGUUAUGAUUCCUUGUGCAUUCAGAAGCUCAGGUGACAUAAAUGAGAGAAAUCCAUGAAGAUAUUAGGGGGGCCAUAAAUUGUACUUCUAACUUGUUAGUAAUGAAUUUUUGUUUUGCAUGUGUAUAUAUGUAUAUAGGGUCAACUACUAGUAGACCUGGAUCAUGGAGCUUUAUGAAUUGUGCUGCUUGAUGAAUUGACCAUGUUUCGAAUGAGUUAAAGUGUCAUGCUAAUUACAUGUGUGGUGAUCAUAUAUUAGUUCAUGUGGUGUGCCAAAACAAUAUACCUACAAAGUCCAAUGUCAUUUUGUCCUUCCACUUUCUUUUCUUUUUCCCCUCCAAAUAAAAAGUUGGGAACAAAUGGGAAUUGGAGAGAGAGAGUGAUUUUGUAUGGCAACAUGUUAAAUUGUUGAAUGUACAUGUGGAGUAUUGAAGCUCAAGUGAUAUGAAGUGAAAUAGGUUUUAUUUGAAUGAUAAUGAACUUGAAAAUUUAGAACUUCAAAUGAAGCCAUACUCGCAUGACCACCAGAAGAUAAUACAGAUAUUCUUACUUGGGCAGAACUUGAACUUGAACUUGGAACUUAAGAUUAUAGUUAUAGUUUAGUUCAUUUUGUGGGUUUUAUAAUGAGUACGUCAUUUGAAUAUUAUGUUUUAUUAAUUUAAUUUCAUCAAAACUCUAGUCUCAACAUUUACCUGUUUAGUGGAUUUUAUGAGCACAGAUACACUGCUGGGAGCCAGCCUAUAUAGCCUUUGACGGUAUCUUGAAGACUCUAAUCAGGGAAUCGUUGAUGGGUUGUCUGGUUGACAUGUGACUGUGAUCACCCCACAAGGAAUUCUCAUGUAGUUGAAGUUGAUUCUGGUGAUGUGGUGUGUUUGAGAAAUGGAAAUAAUGACCCGAAGGUUUAUCAGUAUGUUGUUGGCCUAUCAGGGAAAAACAAAAUAUCAGAAUGUAGUUGAUGAAAUCAUGGAUUUGGCAAUGCUAGUUAAUAUAUUGUUUUUGUUGUGCAUAAUACAGUAAGGAUAAUUGUGUCAGCAGCUAGUUUUAUUAAUGGGGGCCAAUUUCCCUUGACUGAACCUGGAUACGGGGAAGUUAUUAGUGGGAUGCAGGGAACAUAGGAGAAAUACAGAUUGUGAUAACUAGGAAGUUGUUUGGUCCUUUGGGGUGUGGUUGUGGCUAAGCUAUCCCGCAUUUUUCCGGAAGGCAGGCUUCAAAUUUUGUAGGUCUUCGGUGAGGUACUUUGCAUUAAGACUCGUGAACUUUGUUGGGUUGGCAGUCCUGGUCGUAGGUCACACAGGGCGAUGUUCUGGGGAGAGACUUAUGCCAUGUUUGGUUCUUGGAGAAUUUGAGGGGAAAAAAAAAAAAAGAAGGAAAAUAAAAAAAAGAUUUAGAAUUAAUAAAUUAUUUUUAUUUAUCAUUUUAAGCUUAUUUUAAUUGUUUUAAUUCAUUGAUAUAAAGAUAAAACAAUUUAAAAUUUUAUAAGUUUUUAACUGGUUUUAAUUAUAUUUGAUGUGUUUUGAAAUUUUUUAUAAAAUAACCAAAUAUGAGAAAAUUAUUUUUCUUUAACAUUUAUUUUCUUUCUUUAUCAUUUUUUGAGAACCAAACAUACAGCUCACAUGGUCGGUGGAAUGUUUUAUAGGGGUUGCAAUUCAUUAAAUUUUGGUGUAGCUUUGUGUUUAGCUACUGAUAUCAUUGCAGCUGUUAAAAUAUAUAUAUAUAUAUAUUUAUUUAUAAUUAUUUUUUAAAAUAACUGUUAAAAUAUAAGUAAAAACAACUAAAACAUGUUUUCUGUGAACACUUGAUGUGUGUUUUUCUGCUUCACACCGGAUAUGUGUUUUUGUGCUUUAGAUGUUAAGGAUGAUGAAUAUUGUUAGAUGGGUUAAAGGUUGUUGUUUAUUUGUUUGUUUAGAUGGAAAACAUGAAAGAAAGAUUUAAGUAAACUAAUUUUAGAAAUCGUUUUAAAGAAUUAUUUUUGAAAACUUUCCCAAAUAGGUGCUUAGGAUGUGGGCUGUUUUUAUGGGUGGAGAUGCUUUUAAGAGAUUUGGUGCAUUUAGAGAUCAAUUUUUUUUCCUAAUCAAAUUAGAAAAAACAUCACAAGUUUUGAAGUCUUGAACAGCAUUUCUGUUUUAAUAAUUUAUACUAUAUUGGUAUAUUUUAGUGUUCAUCUUAAUAAAUCUUUUGAAUGGGCCCACAGGGAUCAAGCUUUAUUGUCUUCCAAUGCUUACUUUUGAAAUCUUGUUUUUUAAAAAAUAUAAUUUUUAUUUUAGAAAAAAUUAUCCAAAAGGGACAGAUGCAGAUCAUAAGGAUCCUAAAGGGUUACAUCGAUUGAAAUUCUUUUUGAAGGAUGAAAUAAAAUAAUAUAAAGUCCCCAAAAGGUCAUUCGCAUAAUUGAUGGCUUAUAAUUAAAAUGAGAAUAGAGCAAAAACUUUUUCUAAGGCCAUCCUUCUUGAUUGUUGAAUGCCAAAUUGCCAAUUACAUACCAAUUCUUGCCCUAAAUCCAAUGGUUGGAAACUUUGGGAGGGUAGAUGAAUUCUACAGAGUUUCUAUCUUGUAAAACUUUGGAAUCUUUAGAGGUAAAUGAUAAAUUAAGGUUAUGUUUGGUUCUAUGUGAAUGAUUUUAACUUUACAUUAAAAUAAAAUAUAAUUAAAAUUAGUUAAAAUUUUAUAUAUUUUUAAAUGAUACAUGUUUACAUAAAAUAAAAUAAAACAAAAUAAAUUUGAAAUAUCAUAUAAAGAUAAUUUAUUUACUUUAAAUCCAUUUAUUAUUUUCCUUUACCUUUUAUUUUCCUAUAAUUUUUAUUUUUAUUUUUUGGAACCAAAUAUAACCUAAAAAAAAUGUCAAAAAGAAAAAUGAGAAACAAAUUUCAAGAGGCAUGGGAUAAAAAUUUAUUAUAUUUAACCCUAAUUUUCAUUUGUCUUCCUUUUAUUAUAUUUAAACCUAUUUUUCAUUGUCUCUUUUCAUUCUUUUCCUUCUACUUUCUUCCAAAAAUUUCAAAUUGGACGCCUAAGACAACUUGUAAUUUCAAUACUUUCCUUCCAUGUUUUUUUUUUUUAAAUCUUUAUCCUUUUGAUUUUUCAUUUUAAAAUAUAACUUUCCCAUCCUAA